GCGGGCGAGCGCCUCGCCAACCUGGUCAGAUCCGGAAGGAAGCAGCCACAACGAGCCCCGCUUGGGUCGAUGUCCAGCCUC
rnacentral:SRP_RNA from 1 species